GAAAUGGUUGGAAGGGAAUUGCAGUGUUAGAGGGAGAGCGUGAAGAAAACCAUGUAAUAUUAGGCCUGGAAAAAUGUAUUUUAUUUAUUCAUGGUUCUUAUGGAUUAUUUUUUGCUGGCAGCUGCUGAGGGUCCCAUUGCUGCACAUUCCCCUCCCUCCAUGGAGGGCAGCCAAGCACUUCUGUUUGAGGAUGAUGAAUGUGCAAAACAGUUUUGAACGCUUCAACUUUAAACAAAGCACUCUCCAAAGCUCCGUUCUUCCUUGGGCAGCCAACCCCAAGUCUCCCUGGUGGAAACCUGGCAGCUUCCAUGAGCUUCUUUUGCAGGUACUGAAAGUUUUGGGCCGGAGGUUUUCCUGUGCUCUCCGUAGCUGUUGCCCAGUGCUGCCCUGAGGAAAAGCAGCGUUGGGAAGGCAGGUGCUGCCCUGAGGAGCAGUGCUGGGAAGGCUGCUGCCCCUUUUCCUGCGGGGUGUCAGGGCGAGGCUCCUCACAAGGCCUGCAGUG
rnacentral:lncRNA from 1 species